rnacentral:rRNA from 1 species
UCCGGGGAUAACAGGCUGAUACCGCCCAAGAGUUCAUAUCGACGGCGGUGUUUGGCACCUCGAUGUCGGCUCAUCACAUCCUGGGGCUGAAGUAGGUCCCAAGGGUAUGGCUGUUCGCCAUUUAAAGUGGUACGCGAGCUGGGUUUAGAACGUCGUGAGACAGUUCGGUCCCUAUCUGCCGUGGGCGCUGGAGAACUGAGGGGGGCUGCUCCUAGUACGAGAGGACCGGAGUGGACGCAUCACUGGUGUUCGGGUUGUCAUGCCAAUGGCACUGCCCGGUAGCUAAAUGCGGAAGAGAUAAGUGCUGAAAGCAUCUAAGCACGAAACUUGCCCCGAGAUGAGUUCUCCCUGAGACUUAGAGUCUCCUGAAGGAACGUUGAAGACGACGACGUUGAUAGGCCGGGUGUGUAAGCGCAGCGAUGCGUUGAGCUAACCGGUACUAAUGAACCGUGAGGCUUAACCUU